GGGGAAUAUUGCUCAAUGGGGGAAACCCUGAAGCAGCAACGCCGCGUGAAGGAUGAAGGCUUUCGGGUUGUAAACUUCUUUGAUUGGGGACGAACAAAAUGACGGUACCCAAGGAACAAGCCACGGCUAACUACGUGCCAGCAGCCGCGGUAAUACGUAGGUGGCGAGCGUUGUCCGGAAUUACUGGGUGUAAAGGGCGUGUAGGCGGGGAUGUAAGUCAGAUGUGAAAUUCCGGGGCUCAACCCCGGCGCUGCAUCUGAAACUAUGUCUCUUGAGUGCUGGAGAGGAAAGCGGAAUUCCUAGUGUAGCGGUGAAAUGCGUAGAUAUUAGGAGGAACACCAGUGGCGAAGGCGGCUUUCUGGACAGUAACUGACGCUGAGGCGCGAAAGCGUGGGGAGCAAAC
rnacentral:rRNA from 1 species